AAGUGGACAAAUCUGGCUAUAAUGUGUUACCCCACUGACCACCAGAAUCGAUUCAGCUGAUUUGACUGGUAAGCCAGUGUCCUCUUUCUCCCCCUCUGUUUCAUGCAUGUUCCUUCCAAAACUGCACACUUCAUCAAAGAAGACAAUUUUUCCCAAUACAGGAGGAAAAUUCUUUGGUCAAGAAUAUAGGAGUAGUUGCAGUCCCUUCUAGAACCUUACAACAAGCUUACAGUAGAUAUUAUGAGAAAAUAUUAUAUAUAUGGUCAAUUGCUUUUUGAUAAAGAUUUAAAGACAAUUCAAUGCAGAAGACACAGUCAUUUUUAACAACUGCUGCUAGAAU
rnacentral:snRNA from 1 species